GAUGAACGCUGGCGGCGUGCCUAAUACAUGCAAGUCGAGCGAACAGAUGAGGAUCUUGCUCCUCUGACGUUAGCGGCGGACGGGUGAGUAACACGUGGAUAACCUACCUAUAAGACUGGGAUAACUACGGGAAACCGGAGCUAAUACCGGAUAAUAUAUUGAACCGCAUGGUUCAAUAGUGAAAGACGGUUUUGCUGUCACUUAUAGAUGGAUCCGCGCCGCAUUAGCUAGUUGGUAAGGUAACGGCUUACCAAGGCAACGAUGCGUAGCCGACCUGGGAGGGUGAGCGGCCACACUGGAACUGAGACACGGUCCAGACUCCUACGGGAGGCAGCAGUAGGGAAUCUUCCGCAAUGGGCGAAAGCCUGACGGAGCAACGCCGCGUGAGUGAUGAAGGUCUUCGGAUCGUAAAACUCUGUUAUUAGGGAAGAACAAAUGUGUAAGUAACUAUGCACGUCUUGACGGUACCUAAUCAGAAAGCCGCGGCUAACUACGUG
rnacentral:rRNA from 1 species